GGGGCUCACCCGCUGAGUUUAA
rnacentral:rRNA from 1 species